rnacentral:rRNA from 1 species
AUUGAACGCUGGCGGCAGGCCUAACACAUGCAAGUCGAGCGGAUGAAGGGAGCUUGCUCCUGGAUUCAGCGGCGGACGGGUGAGUAAUGCCUAGGAAUCUGCCUGGUAGUGGGGGAUAACGUCCGGAAACGGGCGCUAAUACCGCAUACGUCCUGAGGGAGAAAGUGGGGGAUCUUCAGACCUCACGCUAUCAGAUGAGCCUAGGUCGGAUUAGCUAGUUGGUGGGGUAAAGGCCUACCAAGGCGACGAUCCGUAACUGGUCUGAGAGGAUGAUCAGUCACACUGGAACUGGGACACGGUCCAGACUCCUACGGGAGGCAGCAGUGGGGAAUAUUGGACAAUGGGCGAAAGCCUGAUCCAGCCAUGCCGCGUGUGUGAAGAAGGUCUUCGGAUUGUAAAGCACUUUAAGUUGGGAGGAAGGGCAGUAAGUUAAUACCUUGCUGUUUUGACGUUACCAACAGAAUAAGCACCGGCUAACUUCGUG